AGGUUUCCGUAGGUGAACCUGCGGAAGGAUCAUUGUCGAUACCCUGCACAGCAGAACGACCCGUGAACUAGUAAAUCCAACUCGGGGGCGAGGGGCCCUAGAGCCCCGAACCUCCUUGGCCUGGGGGGCACCAUCGCCGAGCGGCGCUGGUCGACGCUCGUUGGUGCCGCCCUCCAAGCCGCACAAACGAACCCCGGCGCAAAACGCGCCAAGGAACUUCAACGAAUCAGCAUGCCCCGGCGGCCCAGAAAUGGUGCGUGUCCGGGACGUUGCGUCGUAUUCUUUAUGUCAAAACGACUCUCGGCAACGGAUAUCUCGGCUCUCGCAUCGAUGAAGAACGUAGCGAAAUGCGAUACUUGGUGUGAAUUGCAGAAUCCCGUGAACCAUCGAGUCUUUGAACGCAAGUUGCGCCCGAAGCCAUUAGGCCGAGGGCACGUCUGCCUGGGCGUCACACAACGUUGCCCCCCCCUMGACUUCCAAGAGGACGGGGGGCGGAUGCUGGCCUCCCGUGUGCCACGGCUCGCGGUUGGCCUAAAGACGAGUACUCGGCGACGAGCGCCGCGGCAAUCGGUGGUUGUCCAACCCUCGGUGCCAUGCUGCGUGCGCGAUCCGCUCACUGUUACU
rnacentral:rRNA from 1 species